rnacentral:rRNA from 1 species
CCUACGGGAGGCAGCAGUCGGGAAUAUUGCGCAAUGGAGGAAACUCUGACGCAGUGACGCCGCGUGCAGGAAGAAGGUUUUCGGAUUGUAAACUGCUUUAGACAGGGAAGAAAAAAGACAGUACCUGUAGAAUAAGCUCCGGCUAAAUACGUGCCAGCAGCCGCGGUAAUACGUAUGGUGCAAGCGUUAUCCGGAUUUACUGGGGGUAAAGGGAGCGCAGGCGGCGCGUUAAGCCUGGUGUGAAAGCCCGCGGCCCAACCGCGGGACUGCAUUUGGAACUGGCGCGCUGGAGUGCCGGAGGGGUAGGCGGAAUUCCUAGUGUAGCGGUGAAAUGCGUAGAUAUUAGGAGGAACACCAGUGGCGAAGGCGGCCUACUGGACGGUGACUGACGCUGAGGCUCGAAAGCGUGGGGAGCAAACAGGAUUAGAUACCCUGGUAGUC